GGAAGGUCAGUGCUUUGGAGGAGGAGAACGCAACUCUCAGCAGGAAACUACAGAAGUCGAGAAACAAGAUUGGACGAAUGCGAGAGCGCAUGGAACAGACGGCGUCUGUUGUUGCGGCCCGAAAGGUUGACAUUGGACUUGGCGUCCUUGUGGACGCCGGGAUUCUGCACAGGG